rnacentral:rRNA from 1 species
UACGUAGGGUGCGAGCGUUAAUCGGAAUUACUGGGCGUAAAGCGUGCGCAGGCGGUUCGUUGUGUCGGCGGUGAAAGCCCCGGGCUCAACCUGGGAAUGGCCGUUGAAACUGGCGAACUGGAGUGUGGCAGAGGGGGGUGGAAUUCCGCGUGUAGCAGUGAAAUGCGUAGAGAUGCGGAGGAACACCGAUGGCGAAGGCAGCCCCCUGGGCUGACACUGACGCUCAGGCACGAAAGCUAGGGUAGCAAACGGG